rnacentral:rRNA from 1 species
UAGGGAAUCUUCCACAAUGGACGCAAGUCUGAUGGAGCAACGCCGCGUGAGUGAAGAAGGCUUUCGGGCCGUAAAACUCUGUUAUUGAAGAAGAACGUGUGUGACAGUAACUGGUCAUGCAGUGACGGUAUUCAAUCAGAAAGUCACGGCUAACUACGUGCCAGCAGCCGCGGUAAUACGUAGGUGGCAAGCGUUGUCCGGAUUUAUUGGCGUAAAGCGAGUGCAGGCGGUCUUUUAAGUCUGAUGUGAAAGCCUUCGGCUU